CUCUAUAAUAUACUGAUGAAUAUCCGACGACACUUUAAUCAAAACGACAUCGUUCAAAAAUUGCAACACUAUUUGUCUAGUGAUGAAAUAUUUCUAAAGAAAUUAGGGAUUGGUAAAGAGAACAGAGCUUCGGAGAAGGGAGGUUGCCUACACACGAGUGGGUUGCAUCAGUACUUCCCAACACACUAUUAAUUUGAAAAAUAAAACCGGAAAAACUCAAAUAUGGAUUAGAUACAAAUUACAAUACCACAUUCAUUUUAGAAGCGUCGGUUCGUUGAUCUCCACAUUCAUUUUCAGUUCAUCAUCUCCAUUGAUGAAUUACGCUGUCGUGCUUGAUGAAGCUACUACAAAAAGUUUAUGGGAGACUGUUAGAGGACUUGAUAAGGCAAACACAGCUUAUUGUUAUGGAUACUUGGCCCCUUACAAGAGAGGUAGAAGCUUUUUUAUCAGCAAAUUGUUUGAAUGAGAAAGUGUAUUUUAAAUUUAAAACUUUGCGAUAAGCAAAGUUCAAAGGAAAUUAUUGGAGUCAGAUUUUCUCUAUAAAACACAACAUCUUAUUCA